UUUAAGGUUCUGACACACCAAGCCGACUGUCGGCCGUUGGACAUUUUUGUGGCGUGUCCCGCACCGUUGGCUCUAGUCUGCCCGUGUCUGAGUUUUUCUGGCUGAUUCAGCACGUUGAAUCGGCGGCGCCGCCCGUCGGUGAGAGAAAUCACUCUGAUUGUCUGUUCAGCUUAAACGAAUCAGUGCACGAGAACAGAAACAGACUCUAGGAAAGCAAGCCAACGAGUAAAGUCAAGAGG